rnacentral:rRNA from 1 species
UACGGAGGGGGGCUAGCGUUGUUCGGAAUUACUGGGCGUAAAGCGCACGUAGGCGGCUUUGUAAGUUAGAGGUGAAAGCCCAGGGCUUAACCCUGGAAUUGCCUUUAAGACUGCAUCGCUAGAAUCGUGGAGAGGUAAGUGGAAUUCCGAGUGUAGAGGUGAAAUUCGUAGAUAUUCGGAAGAACACCAGUGGCGAAGGCGACUUACUGGACACGUAUUGACGCUGAGGUGCGAAAGCGUGGGGGAGCAAACAGG